rnacentral:tRNA from 1 species
GCCUUUGUAGUAUAACCAUUAUACUGGUCUUGUAAACCAGAGAAGGAGACUCACAUCCCCCAAGACA